CUGUUCAGCACACUUCUCAGAUUUACCGCAGAAGUCACAGACAGGACAAUACUGGGAAAGGAGCCUCAAAGCAACUUACAAUUGCCUUCCUUCUUCCCCAACAGACACCUUGUAAGAAAUGCUUCUUCCGACAAUCCUCCUCCUCUUGGCUGCUGUCCUGCACCAGUCUCUAGGACAGG